AACAUAGCAUUAAUGCACUAGAUUCCAUUAGAACUCUGCACUUAAGCGUGCUCAGGCUAGAGUAGUACUGGAAUGUGUUAGCAUAGGGGCAGACCCAGGGUUC
rnacentral:rRNA from 1 species